GAUGAACGCUAGCGGCAGGCCUAAUACAUGCAAGUCGGACGGGAUUUGGGAGCUUGCUCCUAAUGAGAGUGGCGCACGGGUGCGUAACACGUAUGUAACCUACCUUAAUCAGGGGGAUAGCCUCUCGAAAGAGAGAUUAACACCGCAUAAUAUAUUUUUAUGGCAUCGUAGAAAUAUCAAAUAUUUAUAGGAUUAAGAUGGGCAUGCGGAACAUUAGCUAGUUGGUAAGGUAACGGCUUACCAAGGCUACGAUGUUUAGGGGAUCUGAGAGGAUGACCCCCCACACUGGUACUGAGACACGGACCAGACUCCUACGGGAGGCAGCAGUAAGGAAUAUUGGUCAAUGGGCGCAAGCCUGAACCAGCCAUGCCGCGUGCAGGAAGACGGCCCUAUGGGUUGUAAACUGCUUUUGUACCGGAAUAAACCCUUUUACGUGUAAGAGGCUGAAUGUACGGUAAGAAUAAGGAUCGGCUAACUCUGUGCCAGCCGCCGCUGUAA
rnacentral:rRNA from 1 species